rnacentral:lncRNA from 1 species
CACGCACAACCCCACGCAGCCACCACAGCCGGAGCGACGCUCCAGCUCCGGGGUCAGCGCUCCCCCCGAAUAAGGGGGGGACCGUGCUUUCCUCCGUCGGCCUUCCCCUCUCCUCUCGACCCAGUAAAUGAGCUUUUUUGCUCCACAGUUGUGUGUGACCGACCUUAAACUCUCCCGAUCUCUUCUCGAGACUCUGGGACUCAGGUCGUGGUGGCCGUCGGGAGUCUUCUCUCCUGGGAUCUAGGAAAGAAAGAACUCGAAUGUCCAGCUCCCUAUCUCUGUGCUACUAAAUGUGCUAAAUUCCUGGGAAGUUUCGGGAGGUUCCCAUCUGCACUCCCCAGCUAACCUGAAACUUUUAAUUCGGGGUCACGGUGCACCGAAAGGUUAGUCCAUGAAGUGCGCAGAGUAGAAAGGGGUUUCCACGCCAGUCGCGCCCGGAGGUGCUCUCCGAGUUUGGGUGUCCCGUUUGCUCUGAAAUUUCCCUGGAGAACUUCAGGUAAAUCGAAGUAAAUGAUUUUCUAAAGAUGAUCCCCAGAGACCUGCUUUUCCUGCCACUCCGCCGCAGCCGGGAGAGGGUGCCCUGGCCCCCGCACCGCCGGGUUAGAGGUGAGAGGCGGGACGCACACCAACUUCACUAUGUGCGAUUUCUAAGGCUAGAGAAAGGACCUGACAUUUUACUCCCCCCGCCCCCACCUCCCCCCCCCCCCCGCCCCCCGCCCCAGAACUCCGAUUGCUUUUGAGUAUUACUCAGAACAAAGGUGGGGGCAGGGAGGUAAUUGUUUGCUCUCUUGCAAGGUCACAAAUUUUUUUUUCAAGACUAGUUUUAUUUUUCUUGCCAAUUAACUAAGAAAUAAAACUGUUUGACCCAUGGAAUUGAUUCAGACAGAAAGCCAGAUUGCCUGACCCUUCCAGUUUGCAGUUUUCCCAACACAUCGACUUUGGCCCUGGGGACAACACCCCUGGGGAGCGGCACAUUUUCAAAGCCACCCUCCCAGGGGCCCCAGGCCUGGUGCUCUGAGCUUCCUCUGAGAGCCCCAGCUGGUCCGGGAAAGUGGGGGAUAUUAGGGGGCGCAGAGGAAGAAGGGCACCGCAAGAGCUGGCGAAGGCCUCCACAGUGCUCCAGAUUUAUGGGACCUUCUCGCUUGUACCAUAUUUCUUCCCGCCCCGGGGACGCUCUGGGCGAAGGACACGGGGUCAGCUCGGCACCCCCCUCCACCCCGCCAGCGCCUGGGCCCACUCGCCGGGUCGGGAUGGCGCGUCCCCCCGACUUGACUCCACCGCUGUCACUCCGACGCAGGUCAUCGCCCAGAGAGUCCUGACAGUGAUGGUGAUGGGCUUGUUAUCUAGGCCACCCAAUGACCGACGAAAGAUUUUCUCCCUCGCUGCUUCUCCCCAGGCCGCUUUAAACCAAAUAAAUUUAGCUAUUAAGGGCCA